rnacentral:tRNA from 1 species
GGCCGCUUGGCCCAAUGGUAAGGCGUCUGACUACGACCGAGUGUGAUCACACACUUGACAAGUUAUCAGGAGAUUCUGGGUUCGAGCCCCAGGGUGGUCA